rnacentral:rRNA from 1 species
UACAGAGGUCUCAACCGUUGUUCGGAUUCAUUGGGCGUAAAGGGUGCGUAGGCGGUCGUGUAAGUCGGAUGUGAAAUCCCGGGGCUCAACCCCGGAACUGCAUUCGAUACUGCAUGGCUAGGGUACUGGAGAGGAGACUGGAAUUUACGGUGUAGCAGUGAAAUGCGUAGAUAUCGUAAGGAAGACCAGUGGCGAAGGCGAGUCUCUGGACAGUUACCGACGCUGAGGCACGAAGGCCAGGGGAGCAAACGGG